GACGAACGCUGGCGGCGUGCUUAACACAUGCAAGUCGAACGGACAGGCCUGCUUUCCCUUGUGGUUUGCGGGUACUCGAGUGGCGAACGGGUGAGUAACACGUGAGUGAUCUGCACCCAACUUGGGUAUAAGCCCGGGAAACUGGGUCUAAUUCCCGAUAGGACUGCAGGGUGGUGCCUGUGGUGGAAAACGAUUUUCUAGUUGUUGGGGAUGAGCUCGCGGCCUAUCAGCUUGUUGGUGGGGUAAUGGCCUACCAAGGCGGCGACGGGUAGCCGGCCUGAGAGGGUGGACGGCCACAUUGAGACAGAGAUACGGCCCAGACGCCUACGGGAGGCAGCAGUGGGGAAUAUUGCACAAUGGGCGGAAGCCUGAUGCGGCGACGCCGCGUGGGGGAUGACGGCCUUCGGGUUGUAAACUCCUUUCGACCGCGAGGAAGCCACCUGGUUGGAAGGGUGGUGACGGUAGUGGUAGAAGAAGCACCGGCUAACUACGUG
rnacentral:rRNA from 1 species